CGUACACUCCUGCGGGAGGCAGCAGUGGGGAAUAUUGGACAAUGGGCGCAAGCCUGAUCCAGCCAUGCCGCGUGAGUGAUGAAGGCCCUAGGGUUGUAAAGCUCUUUCACCGGUGAAGAUAAUGACGGUAACCGGAGAAGAAGCCCCGGCUAACUUCGUGCCAGCAGCCGCGGUAAUACGAAGGGGGCUAGCGUUGUUCGGAUUUACUGGGCGUAAAGCGCACGUAGGCGGACUAUUAAGUCAGGGGUGAAAUCCCGGGGCUCAACCCCGGAACUGCCUUUGAUACUGGUAGUCUUGAGUUCGAGAGAGGUGAGUGGAAUUCCGAGUGUAGAGGUGAAAUUCGUAGAUAUUCGGAGGAACACCAGUGGCGAAGGCGGCUCACUGGCUCGAUACUGACGCUGAGGUGCGAAAGCGUGGGGAGCAAACAGGAUUAGAUACCCGUGUAGUCC
rnacentral:rRNA from 1 species